AGAGUUUGAUCCUGGCUCAGAAUCAACGCUGGCGGCGCGCCUAACACAUGCAAGUCGAACGGGAAAGUGGGCAACCAUGAGUACAGUGGCGUACGGGUGAGUAACACGUGGGUGAUCUACCUCUUAGUGGGGAAUAACCCUGGGAAACCGGGGCUAAUACCGCAUAAGCUCGAGAGAGGAAAGCAGCAAUGCGCUAAAAGAGGAGCCCGCGGCCGAUUAGCUAGUUGGUAGGGUAAAAGCCUACCAAGGCAAAGAUCGGUAGCCGGCCUGAGAGGGCACACGGCCACACUGGCACUGAAACACGGGCCAGACUCCUACGGGAGGCAGCAGUGGGGAAUCUUGCACAAUGGGGGAAACCCUGAUGCAGCGACGCCGCGUGAGCGAUGAAGCCCUUCGGGGUGUAAAGCUCUUUCGGCAGGAACGAUUAUGACGGUACCUGCAGAAGAAGCUGCGGCUAACUACGUGCCAGCAGCCGCGGUAAUACGUAGGCAGCGAGCGUUGUUCGGAAUUACUGGGCGUAAAGAGUGUGUAGGCGGUUCUCUAAGUUCGGUGUGAAAUCUCCCGGCUUAACUGGGAGGGUGCGCCGGAAACUGGAGGGCUGGAGUAUGGGAGAGGAAAGCGGAAUUCCUGGUGUAGCGGUGAAAUGCGUAGAUAUCAGGAGGAACACCUGCGGUGUAGACAGCUUUCUGGACCAUCACUGACGCUGAGACACGAAAGCGUGGGUAGCAAACAGGAUUAGAUACCCUGGUAGUCCACGCCCUAAACGAUGCAUACUUGGUGUGAGCCGUUCAUUCGGUUCGUGCCGGAGUUAACGCGUUAAGUAUGCCGCCUGGGGAGUACGGUCGCAAGGCUGAAACUCAAAGGAAUUGACGGGGGCCCGCACAAGCGGUGGAGCAUGUGGUUCAAUUCGACGCAACGCGAAGAACCUUACCUGGGCUCGAACGGCUUCGGACAAGCUGUGGAAACACGGCCUUCCCGCAAGGGACUGGAGUCGAGGUGCUGCAUGGCUGUCGUCA
rnacentral:rRNA from 1 species